ensembl:lncRNA
AUGCUGCCAUCUAGUGCACGUUACAGAGCUGCGCGCUCUUUGUCUUUUGCUGUAUCAGCUGUCACUGAAUCUAUUGAGAUCCCUCAGUUCACCGGACGCAGUUAUCUGACAUAUGACAACAGAGAUAUCCUCAAAAGUGCUUCAUUGGAGAGUGCAAUUUGGUGCAACUUUGCUCACUGCAACUCUCUGAUUGGUGAGCACAGCAUCAUGGGGUAUCAGGUUCCAGAACAAAUAUGUUCAUGCGUUUUAAGAGCACGUCAAAAGAUGGCCUUUUAUUAUGACGAGGAGACAGUCCAAUUAGAGCCAACAGUGACUAUCUGUCUCUUGGCCUUCAAGAUGGAGCGCUCAUUUUCAGUUACAAUCUUGGUAGUGGAGCUGCCACUUUGGUCAUUAAUGGCACAUUUAGUGAUGGCAGAUGGCACAGAGUGAAAGCUGUCAGAGAUGGACAGUCUGGUAAACUAACCGUCGAUGAUUACGGAGCUAAAACAGGCAGAUCUCCGGGUAAGAUGAGACAGCUGAACAUCAAUGGUGACCUUUACAUUGGUAAGAAUAAACACUAUUUUGAAGUUGAUUAUAAUGAUAAA